rnacentral:rRNA from 1 species
UACGUAGGGGGCAAGCGUUGUCCGGAUUUAUUGGGCGUAAAGAGCGUGUAGGCGGUCUGGUAGGUCCGUUGUGAAAACUCGAGGCUCAACCUCGAGACGCCGAUGGAAACCAUCAGACUAGAGUCCGGAAGAGGAGAGUGGAAUUCCUGGUGUAGCGGUGAAAUGCGCAGAUAUCAGGAAGAACACCCGUGGCUAAGGCGGCUCUCUAGUACGGUACUGACGCUGAGACGCGAAAGCGUGGGAGCGAACAGG